UUAUUGCAUAUCUGCUCAAAAAGCAAUGCAAAAAGUCGUUACUGGAAAAAGCUGAACCCUCCAAAAAUAGACGGAAGGAGAGGUGGAGAAAGUGAAAUGGCGGCCGCUUCUUCAACGAACAACUUGAUUUUCAGACCAAACAACCCUUCUUCCCCACGGAAAUUUUCUCACCCACCCACUUCAAUUCCUCCAUUUCGAAAAACCAACAAGCGCUUUGCCGUUUUCGCAACCUUUAUAUCCACAAAACCCACCGUCCUCGUGGCCGAAAAACUCGGAGAAGCCGGUCUUCAACUUUUGAAAAACUUCGCCAACGUUGAUUGCUCUUACAACUUGUCUCCCGAAGAGCUCUGCACCAAGAUCUCUCUUUGUGACGCAUUGAUUGUUAGGAGUGGUACUAAGGUUUCACGUGAAGUGUUUGAAUCGUCGGGUGGUCGCCUUAAGGUUGUUGGUCGCGCAGGUGUCGGGAUAGAUAACGUUGACUUGUCGGCUGCCACUGAACAUGGAUGCCUUGUCGUUAAUGCGCCUACCGCUAACACAAUUGCAGCCGCCGAACAUGGGAUUGCCUUGCUCGUGGCUAUGGCUAGGAAUAUUGCGCAAGCCGAUGCUUCUGUCAAAGCUGGGAAGUGGCAGAGGAGUAAAUAUAUAGGUGUUUCCCUAGUGGGAAAAACACUUGCUGUGAUGGGAUUUGGAAAAGUUGGAUCAGAAGUAGCACGACGGGCUAAAGGCCUUGGGAUGCAAGUGAUUUCUCAUGAUCCAUAUGCUCCAGCAGACCGUGCCCGCGCAAUUGGUGUUGAGUUAGUAAGCUUUGAUGAAGCCAUAUCAACUGCCGAUUUUAUCUCAUUGCACAUGCCUCUCACACCUGCUACCUUGAGAAUGUUUAAUGAUGGGGCUUUCUCUAAGAUGAAGAAAGGAGUUCGAAUUGUCAAUGUUGCUCGUGGUGGAGUUAUUGAUGAGGAAGCCCUAUUGAGAGCUCUGGAUUCUGGAAUUGUUGCACAGGCUGCCCUGGACGUGUUCAUAGAAGAACCCCCAGCAAAGGACAGUCAGUUGGUGCUACAUGAACAGGUUACUGCAACUCCUCAUCUUGGUGCCAGCACCAUGGAGGCUCAGGAAGGUGUAGCUAUCGAAAUAGCUGAAGCUGUUGUAGGAGCCCUGAAAGGGGAGCUUGCUGCUACUGCCGUGAAUGCACCCAUGGUUCCUGCUGAGGUUUUAUCAGAACUGGCUCCAUUUGUUGCUCUUGCUGAGAAGCUCGGCAGGCUGGCUGUGCAACUGGUGGCAGGUGGAAGUGGUGUGAAAACAGUGAAGGUGACUUAUGCUUCUGCCAGAAGUCCAGAUGAUCUUGACACCCGGCUUCUACGAGCAAUGAUUACUAAGGGCAUCAUUGAACCCAUCUCUAGUGUUUUUGUGAACUUGGUGAACGCUGAUUUCACUGCUAAACAGAGAGGUCUGAGGAUUACAGAAGAGCGUAUUAUGUUAGAUGGUUCGCUUGAGAAUCCACUGGAGUUUAUCCAGGUUCAAAUUGCCAACGUAGAAUCCAAAUUUGGAAGCGCAAUUUCAGACUUUGGCGAGAUUACAGUUGAGGGAAGAGUUAAGGAUGGAAAACCUCAUCUGACAAAGGUGGGUUCUUUUGGAGUUGAUGUGAGCCUAGAAGGCAGCCUCAUACUGUGCAGGCAGGUUGAUCAACCAGGUAUCAUUGGAAAGGUGGGGAGUCUCCUGGGUGAGGAGAAUGUUAAUGUGAAUUUCAUGAGUGUUGGAAGGAAUGCCCCUGGAAAACAAGCUAUAAUGACCAUUGGCGUGGACGAAGAACCCAGCUGGGAAGCACUAAAAAGAAUUGGAGAGACACCCGCCAUUGAAGAGUUUGUUUACCUCAAGUUGUAGAGCAGUCAAUGAUUUCAUGCGUCGACCGUAUAAUAUCCAAUUUUUUCCACUCUUGUGAUAGAGAUCUGAAGAAAUAAAUGAACAAGGGGCAAUAGAAACCACAGUGGAGACUACUGAUUAUAGGUCACCGGCAGGAAAGGACAGAGAGCCAACAAAGGAGAAAGUGGGUGUGGUUCAUCUGACUCGCAAAAGGGGAAAUUCUGAAACCUUUGGUGGCGCCAUAGCUGGGGCAGUCGAUUCCAUUUCUAAAACCAUCCAGUCCGCAAAGAACGCUAUGUGGGGUGGCAAGGAGAAGUAACAACAUUUGACUGUAAUUUGUAAGCCACACAAACAUGUUUGUGAGAUAUUUGUAAAUUAUGAAUAAGUAAGUUUGUCGUUAA